AACCCUUACUUUACUCCUGAGAGCAGACGAUAGCAAUUGUAACUAUAAGAAGAGUUGAGAGGACAGACUCUAUUUUAUCUCUUUAUUUUGUCUUUCUCUUAAAAAUAGAAACUCAGUAUUUGCACAAAAAUUCUAAAGGAUACAAAUGAAAUAAUUAAUUGAUAAAUACGACACCAAAAUAAAUUAUAAAAAUACACACAUUGCAAACGCAUGAUUUUUCGAUGGUGUUUCUAAGUAGCGAGAUUUUAAUGACAUUUGUGUGUUGACAUCUUGCCAAUUUUAGGGACGAUUUUAUAAACAGUGUUUCGUCAUCAACUCAGCUUAUAAACUCUUUAUAGUUCAAUAAUGCAUAGCAUAUGGAACAUUUAACUACUCCAGCAAUGUAGUGAUGCAUUGUGACAUUUUUGCGUCUCUUUUACAUAUAAAUAGUAUUUUUUCUCGGCACUUUAAAAAGUUUUGUGACGUAAUAUUUCCUUAGAACUACUUCAAAAGGAUUUGUGCCAACUUUUUCUGAAGAAAAUUUGGAAGACCUGUUGCUUUUCUCAUUAAUUAAAUAAAGGUCUCAUUGAGAAGGGGUGGCAUGAUUCAAAGCUGUCAUAGUUGGAGUAGAAGAAAGGCCCGAUAAACAUAAGCCUCAUUUUGAAUUUCGUAUCUUUAUUAAACUUUGAUCCAUUUGCAGUUGCUUUGCAGAGACCGAUUUCUGGAAAUUCGAUAUUCAGUGCCAAGUUUGAGGCGACUGCAUGUCAUUUGACUAUUAUCCUGAUCACAAGAGAUGUUUAAUUCGUAAUCAGAAAAUCUUGGGCAUCACAAUACAAUGGAGAUUAAUAAUCACUUUAAUCACCUUCAAAGAAAGGGUAUGUUUAAUUUUCUUUCCCUGCUUAUUUUUGAAUUCUUAAAAUGCAGUUGUUGAAUUAUAUUUUAUUUUGUUUCGUGCAGAACUUCUAGUGUUUCAUAAAUGUUCCAUUUCAAUCGAAAUACUUCAAAGACGAAAAACGUUCGCAAUCACAAAAGUGAAAGCGUGGGAAAAAAACAUAUAUAUAUUUUUAAAAUUUUUUAUUAUUUUUAUUUCUCGCUUUUUGUUCCGUUGAGGCGUGCGUUUCGCGUGAUCGAAACGUUAUGUUAGCUGACUGCAUUUGAUUAUUUGUGAAGAGUUAGACAAUUUAUUAAGCUAUUGUCUCUUUCCUUUAAAAGAUUAUUUAUUUAGAUGCUUUAUAAUGGUUAGUAGAGUUUGAAAAGCACAUUCACUUUCAUUUGUAUUUCAUAAUAGAAAUGUUUAACUUUAAUAAGAUGUGAAGUUUUACUGAUAUUGGUUAUUUAGCUUUAUAAUUUAAGCAAAUAAUGUAAAUUAUGCUUUUUUUAUAAUUUUCCAAACAUAAAACUAAUCUGUCGAAAUAGAUUUUUAAUUUGUAGAAAUAUCAUGAAUAUGCAUUUACCGACAAAACUAGACA